rnacentral:rRNA from 1 species
CACAAAAUGACUCUUGGCAACGGAUAUCUCAGCUUUUGCAUCGAUGAAGAACGUAGCAAAAUGUGAUACUUGGUGUGAAUUGCAGAAUCCCGUGAACCAUCGAGUCUUUGAAUGCAAGUUGCGCUCGAAGCCAUGAGGCUGAGGGCACACCAGCGUGGGUGUCACA